UACGAAGGGUGCAAGCGUUACUCGGAAUUACUGGGCGUAAAGCGUGCGUAGGCGGUUUGUUAAGUCCGUUGUGAAAGCCCUGGGCUCAACCUGGGAAUUGCAGUGGAUACUGGCGAGCUAGAGUGCGGUGGAGGAUGGUGGAAUUCCCGGUGUAGCGGUGAAAUGCGUAGAGAUCGGGAGGAACACCCGUGGCGAAGGCGGCCAUCUGGACCAGCACUGACGCUGAGGCACGAAAGCGUGGGGAGCAAACAGG
rnacentral:rRNA from 1 species